CAGCCGCCACGGGAAUACGUAGGGUGCGAGCGUUAAUCGGAAUUACUGGGCGUAAAGCGUGCGCAGGCGGUUGUGUAAGACAGGUGUGAAAUCCCCGGGCUUAACCUGGGAACUGCGCUUGUGACUGCACAGCUAGAGUAUGGCAGAGGGGGGUGGAAUUCCACGUGUAGCAGUGAAAUGCGUAGAGAUGUGGAGGAACACCGAUGGCGAAGGCAGCCCCCUGGGCCAAUACUGACGCUCAUGCACGAAAGCGUGGGGAGCAAACAGGAUUAGAUACCCCUGUAGUCCCUGUCUCUUAUAU
rnacentral:rRNA from 1 species